rnacentral:rRNA from 1 species
CUUACACAUGCAAGUCAACGGGAAAGGUUGUCUUCGGACGGNCGAGUAUACUGGCGAACGGGUGAGUAACGCGUAGGUAACUUGCCUAUCAGUCUGGGAUAGCACUGCUAACGCGGUGCUAAUACCGGGUAUACUGCAUAGAUCGCAUGUUUUUUGCAGGAAAGCGGGCCUCUGGAACAAGCUCGUGCUGAUAGAUAGACCUGCGUCCCAUUAGUUAGUUGGUAGGGUAACGGCCUACCAAGGCAGCGAUGGGUAGCCGGCCUGAGAGGGUGACCGGCCACACUGGGACUGAGAUACGGCCCAGACUCCUACGGGAGGCAGCAGUGAGGAAUAUUGCGCAAUGGACGAAAGUCUGACGCAGCAACGCCGCGUGAGGGAUGAAGCUUUUCGGAGUGUAAACCUCUGUUAGGAGGGAAGAACGUCUAUUAUUCGAACAGGGUGAUAGAGUGACGGUACCUCCAGAGAAAGCCCCGGCUAACUCCGUGCCAGCAGCCGCGGUAAUACGGGGGGGGCGAACCGUUGUCCGGAAUUAUUGGGCGUAAAGGGCGCGUAGGCGGGAAGGUCAGUCAGAGGUGAAAGCUUGUGGCUUAACUGCAAGUUUGCCUUUGAUACUGCCAUUCUUGAGUUCGGAAGAGGGAAGUGGAAUUCCUGGUGUAGCGGUGAAAUGCGUAG